GGCUCUGUGGCGCAGCGGACAGCGCCUUGGACUUUUAGCUAUGUAGAAGAGAGUCAAAGGUUGUGGGUUUGAGUCCCGACAGAGUCA
rnacentral:tRNA from 1 species